rnacentral:rRNA from 1 species
UACGUAGGCAGCAAGCGUUGUUCCGGAGUUACUGGGCUUAAAGCGUGUGUAGGCGGGCGGGCAAGUACCUUGUGAAAUCCCACGACUCAACCGUGGAACGGCUGGGUAUACUGCCUGUCUUGAGCCAGCUAGGGGCGACCGGAACAGACGGUGGAGCGGUGAAAUGCGUAGAUAUCGUCUGGAACGCCAAAGGUGAAAACAGGUCGCUGGGGCUGAGCUGACGCUGAGACACGAAAGCCAGGGGAGCGAACGGG